ensembl:snoRNA LOC120097981 small nucleolar RNA SNORA48
UACCCCUGGCAAUGGGCAAAGAGACAGCUUGUUGGUGGUAUUCUUUUAUCAGUCAAGGGAAGAGCAGUUGGUGGUCCUUCAUUCAUCCCAGCUUGAUGCCUGACUUGGUGGCAAAAACUGUGUUAUGCCUAGGACACAUAA